AUAAGCACCGGCUAACUCCGUGCCAGCAGCCGCGGUAAUACGGAGGGUGCAAGCGUUAUCCGGAUUUAUUGGGUUUAAAGGGUGCGUAGGCGGAUAGGUAAGUCAGUGGUGAAAUCCUACAGCUCAACUGUAGAACUGCCAUUGAUACUGUCUAUCUUGAGUGUAAAUGAAGUGGGCGGAAUGUAGCAUGUAGCGGUGAAAUGCAUAGAUAUGCUACAGAACACCAAUUGCGAAGGCAGCUCACUAACAUACAACUGACGCUCAUGCACGAAAGCGUGGGGAUCAAACAGGAUUAGAUACCCUGGUAGUCCACGCUGUAAACGAUGAUUACUCGUUGUUGGCGAUACACA
rnacentral:rRNA from 1 species